GCUCUCUGAGGCGGCAGCGGCGGCGCCUCCCGGCAGCGCGCAAAGGGGUAAAGAUGGCGCCGCGCGGCGGCCUGCCGCCCUCCUUCUCCUCCUCCUUCCCUUCGCCUCCCUCCCCCCGCCGUGCCGGGCCCCACCUUGCCGAAGUGCGCGGCCCAGUGGAUGGGCGUCCAGCCGUAGAAGGAGUCCUCGGCGGCCAGACGGUGACGCUGAAGUACAAAGAAACCGAACGCUGUGGCCAAGGGAGGGAGCGCUUCCCACUGCAGCAGCUUCCAGUUCUGUGCCUCAUCCUCUGCCUUUCACAAAAUUCAACCACAGAGGCGCAGCAUCACAGGGAUGGGUUGCCUUGUGUUGGGAUGUUAAAGAUCUCUGAGCUCCAACCAGAUCAGGCUGCCCACAGCCCCAUCCCACCUGGCUUUGAACAUCUCCAGGGAUGGGGCAUCCAAGGCUGCAUCUGGCCCUAGCUUUCACAGUUUAUCGUCCCAUACACACAUCUUCUUUUGUGAGUUAUGUGUAUUUUUCCCCCACGCCAAACUGCCCUAGGCAGAUGCUCGCUGUUUGGUUUGCUUUGGAAUUAAAUAAUGAAGGUACCAUAUGAUAGAACAGUUGAAAGAAGGAAAAACAAAAACAAAACCAAAAAAACUACCAACAGCUUACGUUAUAAAAAUGGUAAUUACCAGAAUGUCUGGUAUUAAGGGAAACAGCUUCUUCAGUUGGAAACAGGCAAGCUGUUUUUUACUGUGCUUAUAAGCACUGAUGUUUGUAGUCACUCGUGUUGUUUGUAAUUAUCAUAAAAAGUAAUGAAUAUUAAAAAUAUGUUUCAUGAUAACGACCAGAAAUUAACCAGUACUUUACUAAGGAUUCAUAUUAAGGAUUUGCAUAUGUUUUUCAUCUCUUACUGGGAUAUGGGAACUACCACACCAGAUAGACAGUGGACUUUCUAAUUUCCUUAUAGACAUUCAUUAACUUACUAACUUCCACCACUUCCUGCAAGAUAGCUGAGCUCGGUUGUACUCCCAUUACAAAUGAGGAAGUGAAAUACCGAGAAAGGAAGUGGUUUAACAGUACCAUGCAGGAAUUCUGCACAUGGAACUGAGUCCUAGCGUCUUUACUCACCAGAUUAAGCAGUCAUCCAUAGGGACCCCAACGGUCUGGAGUGGGAUGACAGGAAUCUCAUGGAGUUCAAUAAGGAGAAGUGCAGAGUCCUGAAUCCAGACAGGAGAAGUUCCUGGAACCAGGACAUGCUGGGACCACACAGCUGGAAAGCAGCUCUGCAAGGAAGGACCUGUGGUUGUGGUGGAGACCACUCUGGACACAAGUCAGCACUGUACCCUUGCCACAAAGAAGGCUAAAGUAUUCUUGCCUGCAGUAGGUAAAGCAGCAGAUUGAGGGAGGUGAUCCUUCCCCCUCUUCUCAGUGCUGCUAAGGCUGAAUCUGGAGAACUACUGGGACCCCAGUAGAAGAGAGACCUGGGCAUACUGGAAACAGGCCAAUGGAGGGUCACCAAGUACCUCUCUAGUGAGAAGAGGCUGAGAGGGCUGAAGCUGUUCAGGCUGGAGAAGAGGAGACUAAGGGGGAUCUCAUCAGUGUCAGUAAAUACCUGAAGGGAUGAUGCCAAGAGAAUGGAGCCAGGCUCCCUUCAGGAGUGCUAAGUGCCAGAACAAGCAGCAGUGGGCACAAACUGGAACACAGUUCAGUUCAGAGUUCCUUCUGAACACCAUGCAGCACUUCUGUGCUGUGUGGUUGCCGGAGUAGUGGCAUAGGCUGCCCAGAGGCUGUGGAUUCUCCUCCCUGGAGGCCUCCAAAAGCUGCCUGGCUGCGGGCCUGGGCACCCUGCUCUGUGGCUCUAGAUGAUGAGGGGUUGGGCCAAAAGGACACAGAGGACCCUGCCAGCCUCAGCCAUCCUGUGAGUCUACGCUCUUAAGUUUUGCAACUAUAAUUCUUGUUGUGAGGUUAACCUUUUUUGUUUCCUUACUGGUAAUCUACACCAAACAUUCCAAAGUAGACAACCACAGAAAUCACGACAUUAUACUGGUUCCUUAAUCAAUUUGUAGCUGGCAAUCACAACUGGCUUUUCCAGUUGUGAUUAAUUACCCAUAAAAAUAUAUAAAUAUGUCAUUUUUAAUAUUCUGCUUUUCCACUGGCUUCCUUAAUAUAUCUUGGCAAUGCAUUUUAUAGGUUAAUUAAUUGUAAUUGUAAUUAAAUUCAACUGCAAUUAAAAAUGUUUUCUUUAACUGCUGUCAUAUGUUGUGAAACUGGGACACAGGAAUUCUGGUUUUAACAUUUUUUCUACGUUUCGUUACAUUUACAUUCUAAUUCAUUCUCCUCUAUCGUUAUCCUGGUUAGACUUUAUACCGAACAACACAAGGCUUAAACAUAUUUUUGACAAUCUUUUUGUGUAAAAGUUUAGGUACAGAGAAUAUAAAUCUGUUAUGUGGUUCUAACUUCUUUCUAGGCAAUAGCUUUUGUUUGCCUGACAUAUAUAGCUGCCUUUAUGGUCUGUGUGUAUAUACGCUAAACCAGGAGACUGACCAUCAAGGGUUAAACUGUAACUUACGCCCUCUUAAGAACAGAAGAGGAAGCAGUAAUAUAUAACAACAUGUCAGGUUCUGGUUUGUAUGAAGACAGAUUUCUGCAUUUAGUGUGCAUUUUAUAAGAUAAAAUUAUUUAAGAAAUAGAAUAGAUAGUAUGCUUACUGUACUACUUACACAACAAAAUAUAUUCCUAAUUUCUUAUGACUCAGAAGAGUUCAGCCAAUAAGUUUAGUUGCUCACAUAUAUGUGUGUUUGGAAAAAAUAUUGUUAUUUGCAAGCCUAUUUGCAUUAAUUUUGUCCUCUUUCUAUUCCUGGUCUUUUAAGGGAAGUGAGAAGCUUUCUGUCUCUGUCAGUUCAAGGAGGUGGGCCUUCUGCUUACUCAGGAGUUUAACAGAACAGCAUUUCCCCCAAGGAAGUAACAAAAAAGAUGCAGUUUUAUUUUAGCUGGUUUUACUUUUAUGUUCUCUUUUGCCUCAAGGUUGUGAAAUAAAAUAGUCUGUAAAUGAGGACUUCUUGAAUAUUCAAUAGAGUCUAAUAAGUAUACGUUUAGAUACCAAAUACAUUAUUUUAAAGUGUUUUGUGAAAAUAUAUCUCCUGAGCUCUGGUAAGGCUGCAUCUUGAGUACUGUGUUCAGUUUUGGGCCUCCUGCUACAGGAAAGACACUGAGGCCCUGGAAUGUGUCCAGAGAAGGGCAAUGAAGCUGUGAGGGAUCUGGAGCACAAAUCUUUUGAGGAGCAGAUGAGUGAGCUGGGAUUGUUUAUUCUGGAGAAGAGGAGGCUCAGGGAUGACCUUACUGUCCUCUACAUCUACCUGAAAGGAGAUUGUGGGAAGGUGGGAAUCAGCCUCCACCCAGGUAACAGUGAUGGGACUAGAGGGAAUAGCCUGAAGUUGCACCAGGGUUCAGGUUGGAUAUUAUGAAAAACUUCUUCUCUGAGAGAGCAGGCAGGCAAUGGAACAGGAUGCCCAAGGAGGUGAUUGAGUCACUGUCCCUGGAGGUGUACAAGAAACAUUUAGAUGUGGUACUAAGGAACAUGGUUGAGUGGGCAACAUUUGUGGUAAGUGGAUGGUUGAGCUAGAUAGUCUUAGAGGUCUUUUCCAGCCUUAAUGAUUCUACGAUUUACACAACUCUGUAAUGUAUUCUGCAUUUUCUAUGUGCCAUUUUUGUACAAAUUAAUUACAUUUGCCAAUUUUUCUUUGCAGGAAGGUUGAAGUUGAAGGACUUUAUGAUAACUCAUAUGGAAUUAUGUUGGGUAUUUUUGUAAAAAAACAAAACAAAACAAAACCACCACCACUCCAGCUUUGGAAUUUAAUUGAAUACAUGCUUUGUUCAAAUCCCUCCUUCUUUCUUAUGGACAGUUUGGACUAGUUAACAUUCAGAGUUUUAUUUAGUUACCAUACAUACUUGUCUAGUGCCAUUUGAGACGCCCAAGAGUAUUCUUGCUUGCUGCCAACUGCUGCAGGAAAAUGGUACAAGCUUACAUAGGUACCCUGCCAUGCCUGUACAGAGCUAACAUAUCUCUGAAUAACAGCCUUGCUAGGUUGCAUUAAGAAUCUACAUUCUGACAAGCAGACCCUUCCUAAAUAUCAUUUGCAUUGAUGGACCUAGUCACACAGGGACAACCUGCAUUUGCAGGAGGUUGUCACAUAAUUCCAUGCUGUCCAAGCGCAAAAGGACAAACUAGUUCUGACAUUAUUCAUCAUUCAUUUUGUUUUGGAAAUCUGUGAACGGUGAUAGAAAUGUAGCAUCUCUUUAGAUGCCAUGCAUUUAUUUUAGCAACGGUGAGAAACUUUCUAUAAUUUUCCUAGUGCAAAUAGAAUAUGACUCAUCAUCUUCAGAGACUAGUUCAAAGUUUAGGCUUUCUUCCUGGUUUUUAUUACACUUAAGACCACGACUGAGCACUGUACCACUUGACAUAUGUUGUUCGUUCUUAUGUGGAUUUUUUUCUAUCUUCACCUUUCUUCCACGAAGGCCAACUGUUCUGUUGUGUUUGCUCCUAAAACAGCAUGGCAAAUAAACGUUAUUCUUUGUGAUGGAAGUUACUGGGAGAAGUAGCUGAGAUUUUUUGGUAAGAAGUUAAUUUAAUAAACAUAGAAGCGUUAAAUCCCAAGUGCUAAAAUUAAAUUUGUGUAGUAUGUGAGGCCUCUCAGGGCACAAAGACCAGAAAAUUAAUAGCAGCAGUAGCUGCUAACAUGGAAAAAGAAAGCCACGAGUGGAAAAAGAGCAAACUGGAAGUUCUUUGUCCUCCUUUCCAGCCCUCAGUUCUCAGAAUUUUGUUUGGCAAGGAAAGCAGGGAAUCUGUCUGACUUUCAAAUAAUUACUGACGUAUUACUCCAUUGCAGGCAAGUAGCAAAGAGCAGCUGCUUAUUGCAGCCGGAGCCAAACUCUCCCUCUGCCAUCCCCCAUUUCUUCCUGCCUUCCCUGGAGAAAGCUAUCUCGCUGUUAAGUAAACUAGGAUUGGUUUGCAAGGUACAUUAAGAUUACAUUAGAAAAAUAUUUACUUACGUAUAAAGGAGCCUUUUAAAAAAUCUUCACUGCUUAGGAAACAACGUGAUUUUGUGGGUAAAAAAUAAAAACAGAUUUGUUACUC